rnacentral:rRNA from 1 species
CUAAAAAGAAAACCCAUAUGACAUGGCGGUCUCUAUUUAUUAGAGGAACUCGCCUCAUAAUCGAUAAUCCCCGAUCAAUUUCACCCAAUAUUAAAGCUUAUAUACCGCCGUACAGAGCCAGCCAAUAAGCAUGACUCAAGAUGAGAAUUACCCAUUAAUUCAGGUCAAGGUGUAGUCUAUGAUUGGGAGAAGGUAAGUUACAUUAAAAGUCAUUUAAAGAAUUUAACCAAAAGAACUAAAGGAAAGAGAAUCCAAAAGUAAGAACAAACCAUAAUUUUGAUCAGAACAAUUACAUAGAGAUGCACACAUCGCCCGUCGCU